rnacentral:misc_RNA from 1 species
GGCUCAAGUUGUGACAUGAGAACCUGCAGAGAUAAAAAAACACAAGUUCCAGAACUAAAAUCAUGAUAAUAACUAUCAUGUAAGAGAUUGUAAAUGCUUAAAUUUCAGGACGAAACAGCUCAGAUAUGGCAUUCCCAGGCAAACAUAGAAACAACUCAGCGUACAAUCUGAGAAUCAAGCCAAUCUAAUGUACCUUCAAAGGUCAUGGAAAAUACUAUACAAGAUGAAUGCAUCUGUUGACAAAUUUUUUUUUUUUAAGUGAAUCACUAAAGUGAAGUUACUUUUUCAUGUUAUGGUAUUCUAAUGGUAAUUCUUAUGGCAGUUUCAACUUUCAAAAAGUUCAGAAACACUUUUCUAAUAUUCCAGUUUUUAUAAAUUAUCAUGCAACAGAUGAAGUGAUGGGGUUGUCAGUUUCUGUACGUUGAGGAAUAUGGGUGUGUUAUCAGUGCACAAGAACUUUUUUUCCACAAUGUGCCCACAUCAAUAUGUGUCCAGAUAUAAGCAUACAUUCUUGUGUCACAACUAAAGAUGAAUCCCUCACAGUGAAACACUUUUAAAGUAACUUACUGUUCUCUUCAUGAGCUAUCAGUAUUAAAUUACGAGAAAUAAUUAAAUAGUUAAAUAUUGUGAUAUGAAAUGACAACAAUAUGUCCCAUGCAGACAUCCCCAAACAAUAAAUUACACAAGAGAAAACCAUACAUUGAGAAGCUCUGAUGGCCG